UACGUAGGGUGCGAGCGUUAAUCGGAAUUACUGGGCGUAAAGCGUGCGCAGGCGGUUCGUUGUGUCGGCGGUGAAAGCCCCGGGCUUAACCUGGGAAUGGCCGUUGAGACUGGCGAACUGGAGUGUGGCAGAGGGGGGUGGAAUUCCGCGUGUAGCAGUGAAAUGCGUAGAGAUGCGGAGGAACACCGAUGGCGAAGGCAGCCCCCUGGGCUAACACUGACGCUCAGGCACGAAAGCGUGGGGAGCAAACAGG
rnacentral:rRNA from 1 species